AGAGUUUGAUCAUGGCUCAGGAUGAACGCUAGCUACAGGCUUAACACAUGCAAGUCGAGGGGAAACGACAUCGAAAGCUUGCUUUUGAUGGGCGUCGACCGGCGCACGGGUGAGUAACGCGUAUCCAACCUGCCCACCACUUGGGGAUAACCUUGCGAAAGUAAGACUAAUACCCAAUGAUAUCUCUAGAAGACAUCUGAAAGAGAUUAAAGAUUUAUCGGUGAUGGAUGGGGAUGCGUCUGAUUAGCUUGUGGCGGGGUAACGCCACCAAGGCUACGAUCAGUAGGGUCUGAGAGGAAGGUCCCCCANAUUGGAACUGAGACACGGUCCAAACUCCGUACGGGAGGCA
rnacentral:rRNA from 1 species